GCCAGCGCUCUGCCCUACGUCCUCACCGACAUCGCGGCCUCGUUCACCCUGCUGGUUGGCAUCUACUUCCCUUCCGUGACGGGUAUCAUGGCGGGUUCAAACCGGUCCGGGGACCUCAAGGAUGCGCAGAAGUCCAUCCCCACAGGGACCAUCCUGGCCAUAGUGACCACGUCUUUCAUCUAUCUCUCCUGCAUUGUGCUGUUUGGGGCCUGCAUCGAAGGCGUGGUCUUACGAGAUAAGUACGUUUCCACCUGCAGUUUUCCUGCAAAGCCUGUAGUCUUCACAGGUUUUCUUGAGGACGAAUUCGGCUUUGAAAUUACAUCGCCCUAGGACUUCAUGUCCGUGUGCAGAGCUGAAGGCAUCCUGGUCCCAGGGUUGGGAUCCCUUGGUCUGAUGUGUCAUCUCUUCCACUGGAGCCUAG
rnacentral:sRNA from 1 species